rnacentral:rRNA from 1 species
UGGGGAAUAUUGCACAAUGGACGAAAGUCUGAUGCAGCAACGCCGCGUGCGGGAUGAAGGCCUUCGGGUUGUAAACCGCUUUCACCAGGGACGAAUGUGACGGUACCUGGAGAAGAAGCACCGGCUAACUACGUGCCAGCAGCCGCGGUGAUACGUAGGGUGCGAGCGUUGUCCGGAUUUAUUGGGCGUAAAGAGCUCGUAGGCGGUUUGUUGCGUCGGAAGUGAAAACUUGGGGCUUAACUCCAAGCUUGCUUUCGAUACGGGCAGACUUGAGGGAGGUAGGGGAGAACGGAAUUCCUGGUGGAGCGGUGGAAUGCGCAGAUAUCAGGAGGAACACCGGUGGCGAAGGCGGUUCUCUGGACCUUUCCUGACGCUGAGGAGCGAAAGCGUGGGGAGCAAACA